CCCACUGCUGCCUGGAGGGCUGGAUUGAUGGCUGGCAGCCAGUGUGAGUACAGCUGAGGGUUGGGGUUGAAAACUUCUUUUUUACUUGAGUUUGACACAAAACAGUGGCCUUGCAAACCUGGUGUUAACUUCCAGCUUGCUUUAUGGCUUUGUGGUCUGUUAGAUAAAUGAGACAUUUUCCUUUCACAGAGUUUAAAGAGAAUAGUAAAGUGAUUUUCCUCUGCUGCUUGUGCUUGGGAUGAGCUUUGCUAUUCACUUAGAUUUUUCAGAAAGUCUCCCUUGCUUCAGGAACCUGUCAGUUUCUUCAGACAGACUUAUUUCUUCUCUUGUGUUUCUGAAUCUUUUUCCCCCCAGAGAGCAUAGCUGAUGAAGAGACGCUGACCGCUCGCUUGCUGUGCUGCAGGGAGGAGCUGAUCCGGAGUGUGGCACAGCUGAGCCCCAUCAGAGAGUUUUGGAGACAGAAGCAGGAUUCCUGACUGCCUCAGAGAAGCAGGUAGCUUUGGAUUGCUGUGAAGGCAGCUCUCAGAGGGAAGCUAUGGACAAUCUGAUCAGGAAGAUGGAUGAAGAGAAAACCCUGAAAGUGGAAACUUCUGGAGGCUGUGAAAGCAUCCUUCCCUGGACUCCAGCUUCUGCCGGACAACUUGGUGGCAAGAGCAGACGUCUCUGAUGGUAAAGUGGCUAUCAUUGAGAACACAGCCUUGAGAUCCUGCAGCAUGGCAAGCUGAUCUCCAAGCCAUCCAGCAAAGAGAAGACCUGAAGGGCUUGGCUUUGGGGUAGGCAGGGCUCAGGGAAACAGUGAAAGAGGUAUGAUGGGAUGUUCUCAUAGCAGGCAUGAUUUGAGGCUCAAAGGGUGGGCAGGUCCCAAUGUGCCCUGAGAUCAAGGGUCAUUGCCUAAGUUGGGAAGCCAUCCAAAGUUGGAAGUGCCCCUUUGCUGAAGUGAGAGUGUGCCGGGUAUC
rnacentral:lncRNA from 1 species